rnacentral:rRNA from 1 species
UACGGAGGGGGCUAGCGUUGUUCGGAAUUACUGGGCGUAAAGCGCACGUAGGCGGCUUUGUAAGUUAGAGGUGAAAGCCCAGGGCUUAACCCUGGAAUUGCCUUUAAGACUGCAUCGCUAGAAUCGUGGAGAGGUGAGUGGAAUUCCGAGUGUAGAGGUGAAAUUCGUAGAUAUUCGGAAGAACACCAGUGGCGAAGGCGACUCACUGGCUCGUAACUGACGCUCAUGCACGACAGCGUGGGGAUCAAACAGG